ACGAAGUCUCAUCUUAACCGGAUGUGACGUAAAGUCAGCCUGUAUAAAUACGGCGAUCGACGCUGUAACGUUCUCUUGUCAUUGGUGCCAUCUUAGGAAGGCUCUUCUUCUCAAGAUGCGAGCCAAGUGGAGGAAGAAGCGGAUGCGCAGGCUGAAGCGUAAAAGGCGAAAGAUGAGGCAGAGGUCUAAGUAAACGUCUCCUCCAUUGCUGCUUACAAGACCUGCAAGCUAAACACAGCCGUCCAGAGAAGGAUGAAUCUUCAGCCUCUGAUCUUCUAGAUGCCUUCCAUCUUGGCCCAGUUGGCUGUCUGCAGGGAUGAGAGCUCCCUUCUGGAUUCCGCAAUGCUGUAGAAGCCGAACAGCCCAUGAUGUCUUGGACUGGCAUGCCAGUGCUCUCUGCUCUUAGGAGUUGGACUUGUUAGUUUUAUGGUCUUGUGCAGCAAGUGUAAUAAAUGUUUUUGGUUAAACCAA